GGCCUAAAUCAGGUAGGACUCCCGCUGAACUUAAGCUUUUAA
rnacentral:rRNA from 1 species